UACGUAGCAGCGAGCGUUGUUCGGAAUUACUGGGCGUAAAGCGUGCGUAGGCGGUGCCUCAAGUUUGGUGUGAAAUCUCCCGCUCAACCGGGAGGGUGCGCCGAAAACUGAGGUGCUCGAGUGUGGGAGAGGUAAGCGGAAUUCCUGGUGUAGCGGUGAAAUGCGUAGAUAUCAGGAGGAACACCGGCGGUGUAGACGGCUUACUGGACCAUAACUGACGCUGAGGCACGAAAGUGUGGGGAGCAAACAGG
rnacentral:rRNA from 1 species